rnacentral:rRNA from 1 species
UACGGAGGGUGCAAGCGUUAUCCGGAUUCACUGGGCGUAAAGGGUGCGUAGGUGGUCGAGUAAGUCUGAUGUGAAAUCUUCGAGCUCAACCCGAAAAUGGCAUUGGAUACUAUUCGGCUGGAGGGUUGGAAGGGGGACUGGAAUUCUCGGUGUAGCAGUGAAAUGCGUAGAUAUCGAGAGGAACACCGGUGGCGAAGGCGAGUCCCUGGACAAUCCCUGACACUGAGGCACGAAAGCUAGGGGAGCAAACAGG